ACACAGCCUGACAUGUGAAAAUGCUAUGUUGCCUAAAGGUGGUUUUUAUUUGUUUAAAAAACUGAAAAAAAAUACAUAUGUACACUUUUCUCUCUUGAAUGCUUGAUAUUUGGUUUCUGCAGGCAGUCAAGACCAUGUUUACCAAAUAUACUGCAUUAUAGUUAUACAGACCAGUAUUCAGCAUGCUGAGGCAUGCACUUUAUUUAAGAGGAGGAAGAUUAAGGGGUGACAGUUUUGAUAUAAAAAUUAGAUUAGUACAAAAGGCUUACCUGUUGAGAAGGAAGCAUGGGAACUCAAUGCACCAAUAGUAAUAAAUAACAAAUGCUGUUUGAAGGCUUCAAAAUCAGGUCCUGCAUGGCCACGGAAUUUACCCCUCUGGUGUGUAACCAGAUGUUAUUGUAACACUUUCAAAGGGCACAUACUAUAUUGAGCCAACAUGGGCACCUGGCAUGCGUUAGCAUUGUUACUAGUGCACUUCAAGAUCUAGAUAUUUGUCAUAGACGCUUGGACACUUGGAUACUUCAUGACACUCCUUGAGACUUCAAAUCAGCAAAUUAUAACAUAAUCACAAUUACGUAUCAACUUUUUUCACCUGCACUUCGUAGUUUUCUAGUCUAAUGCAAUAUAUGGCAAAGGUUUUAUGAAUCCUAUUAAAUUGCAAAGUA
rnacentral:lncRNA from 1 species